rnacentral:piRNA from 1 species
UGACCAGAGAGGCCAUCACAGCGGUGCACGC